GCUCGUGUACUUACUACGGCGAGAUAAUUCCAUCAGAAAGUUGUUACAGAUGACAGAUUUUGUAAACGACAGAUUUUUUGUCAUAACUGCAAGCCUGCAGGUAUUCCAUCUCAUACGCUUUACACACAUCCAUAAAAGGAUACAGGAAAUAACAACAGUUGGCCCCAAACAGGCUACAUGCAGUAGUGGUAGCAAAGAAACGAUUUAAAGGAGAACUGGCACUUACCUAAAGAAUAAGCGCAGCCGCAGCAGUAGCCGUGUAUGAUUGCCUCGUCGUCUUCGCAGCCGGUGGCCGGACACCCGUUACACCACAUGCCAAUGCCCAUCCAUGACGCUUGAUCAUCGUGCGCCCGCAGACGGCCCACCACAUGAGCGUCGAUGGGGAGGAGAGUACGGGAUCCAUCUUUGUCUUCGUCUCGAGCGUUCUCCUCAGCUUGCCUAUUGAUUAAUUUAAU